ACACACGCACACAAAAAGAGCGAAAUUCAGCCCUGGCGCUGGAGGAGCGCAGCGCAUCUCCCUGUCCCAGGAGCUCCGGACCUCAAGUGCAUGUCUUGGAUCGGCCUGGCUGCAGAGUCGCGCUUGGGGCUUUUCUGACGUUUCUGGAGGUGACUUGGCUGUCUCCGAAACUGAGAGGAUCUCUCGGGGGUGUUUCCUCCGGCUGUCAGGGAGGAAUGCGCCUCUGCUGCAGCUCACCGCUUCGCAAAACCGCACCUCCAUUGCGAUCGCCAGCAGCCUGCGCUGCGACCCGCCUUUGCGUUUUUGAUUUUUUAGACAGCCCCCGUGUGUUAAAUUCGAAUGCUUUGACCUUGCUGGAAGUAGAGUGGCCGGGUUUCGGAAAGCAAAGAAGACAACAAAAGGCAAGAAUGGGAGCAGAUCAGUGCAUUCUUCAAUCAAUACAGUGAUCAUCGCCGUCAUUAAAAGAACAUAUUAGGAAGGAUUUGCACUGCAUGUUUUUGCAUUAUAUCGGAUAUUUUCAAGGGAUAAUAUACACCAAAGACUCGGAAUUACAUAGGACAAGACGUCGCCUUUUUCCUCCUGCGAAGGCAUUUUUCCAAUUUCUCUGCCGGAUAACAUCAAGAGCUCCAUACCAUGAGCACGAGUGUUCCCUACCAGCAGAACUCCUACAGCACAUCAAGAGGUGCCUCUGUGAUUCAGUGCUAUCGUUGUGGAGAUGUGUGCAAAGGAGAAGUGGUGAGAGUGCAGAGCACCCAUUUUCAUGUGAAGUGCUUCACCUGUGAAGUGUGUGGGUGUGACCUUGCCCGGUCAGGAUUUUUCCAGAAAAAUGGAGAAUACAUCUGCACGGCGGAUUACCAGAGGCUCUACGGCACGCGCUGUGACAGUUGUGGAGAUUUCAUCACUGGAGAAGUGGUCUCUGCCCUUGGAAGAACUUAUCACCCAAAGUGCUUUGUCUGCAGUGUGUGCAGAAAACCUUUUCCCAUUGGGGAUCGAGUGACUUUCACUGGAAAAGAAUGUGUUUGCCAGCAGUGCUCUCUCACACUCGUCAACAGCAGCGAGCCGAUCAAGAUUCAUGGACCCAGCCACUGUGCCGGCUGUAAAGAGGAGAUUAAGCAGGGACAAUCACUGCUGGCAUUGGAGAAGCAAUGGCACGUGAGCUGUUUCAAAUGUCAGACGUGUGGUGUGGUGCUGACAGGAGAGUAUAUCAGCAAGGAUGGAGUUCCAUACUGUGAAUCUGACUACCACGCCCAGUUUGGCAUCAAAUGUGAAACCUGUGGCAGAUACAUCAGUGGAAGAGUACUGGAGGCUGGAGGAAAGCACUAUCAUCCAACUUGUGCCCGUUGUGCCCGGUGCCAUAUGAUGUUCACUGAGGGGGAAGAGAUGUACCUAACAGGGUCUGAAGUGUGGCACCCAUUGUGUAAGCAGGCAGCAAGGGCCGAGAGGAAACUCAAGCACAGACGCACAUCUGAAACCUCCAUCUCCCCUCCAGGAUCCAGUAUUGGGUCGCCAAACCGGGUGAUAUGCGCAAAGGUGGAAAAUGAGAUCCUAAAAUACAAGGAUCUCGCCGCACUUCCUAAGGUUAAAACAAUUUAUGAUGUUCAGCGACCUGAUCUCAUUUCCUAUGAACCUUAUCACAGAUACGCCUCAGAUGACAGGCUAGAAAGGCUCAGCUAUGGGGAGUCUCUGGGGACCCUUUCUCCAUAUUCACAGGACAUUUACGACAGUAUGGAUCUGAGACAGAGACGAGCUUCCAGCCCCGGCUACAUCGACUCACCAAGUUACAGUCGGCAUAGAAUGUCUCCCACGGUGCCUCGCUCUCCUCAGAACUAUUAUAGAUCUGGCACUGAAAGUGGCAGGAGUUCUCCAUACUACAGCCAAAUCGAUGUCAGAUCUACCACCUCAACUUCAUACCAAGCUCCCAAACAUUUCCAUGUGCCAGCCUCAGGAGAGUCAAACAUCUACAGGAAACCUCCCAUCUAUAAGAGACAUGACGAUCAUGAUUUUUCAGCAAUGAAAAGCAAGACCAGUGAGGACAUUGUCCAGUCAUCCAAGUAUCCCUCAGCCUAUUCUCCUGACCAUUACUACCAGUCAGAAUGUGACUACUACCAAUACUCGGGAUCCCCGAAAGCCCCCAGGGCACGCAGGUACUCAUCAGGUGGUGAAGAAGAUGGCUGGGACAACAGCCUCCACCGAAUCCAGAGUGGCAUAGGCAGGAUGAUCCUGAAGGAGGAGAUGAAGGCCCGAUCCGGCCCCUACAUGAAUGACCCAUGGGCCAGUGCUCGCAACUCUCGCAGCGGAAGCAAGGAAACACUGCACAGCAUUGGAUAUGAAACAUCCAUGAAUGGAUCUCCCCGCUCUUAUUACGGAACAGACAAUGACUCGUUUAUCUCCAAAUCAGCCUCUUUGCCUGGAUAUGGGAGGAAUGGCCUCCACAGGCCACAAACCGCUGAUUAUUUUCAGUAUGACAGCAGCAAUGCCGUGAACUGGGGAAUGAGAGAGUACAAGGUAAGAUGGCAGUUUAAGGUCUAUUCUCUCAGAGAACUGGACUGCAGCAUGUUUUACCAUCAUCUGUCAGUUGAUCAUUUUCUUAAUUGUGAAAAUGACUGAAGAUCAUGCUUAUGAGAAUCAAGCCAGACACCAAUCAACAUGUGUCCCCCAAUUGAACUGAGAAAAGCCUUGUUACUGACUGACAAAAGCCAUUAGUGUUGUGCCUCUUGAGUUGAUUUUCUGUCACUAUGUGCCUCUUGCAUUUGUUGUAAACCAGCUCUGUGCUUUUUGUGUGUUUCUUCUCUAUAGUGACUAUUACUGCUUGUUUGAAUGUGAAUUGAGAAUGUGCUAUAACAUAUACCUUCUGUUUUAUAAGGUGUACCCAUAUGAAAUGCUAAUCGUGACCACUAGGGGGCGUAACAGACUACCAAAGGAUGUUGACAGAGCCCGACUGGAGCGUCAUUUGUCUCCAGAGGAGUUCUACCAGGUUUUUGGGAUGAGCAUGGCAGAAUUUGAUCGCUUGGCCUUGUGGAAGAGGAAUGAACUAAAAAAGCAAGCAAGACUAUUCUAAUGAAGAAGCAAUUAAAAGACAUGCCAGCAUCCCAGAGCACAGAGGCAUUUCAGCUUGGAGACUGCAAAGCAUUUUGCUCAGAGGUGAAGGAUUUUUGCCUAACACCAGAAGCAGAGCGAAGUUACUUAUGAGACUGGGCCUCUCCCACAGCCUCUGGUGCAUUUCGCAAUAAACGCUCACUUGGUUGCAUUUUAAUUUGAUAUAAACUCUCUCCUAAUUUCUCCUUUGUAACUUUAUAUUACGUUUAUCCUAAAGCAGAAGUAGCUGACUAGCAAGAUGAUGAAGCUUGGCGACCUUUACAACAGGUGCUGUGUACAAAACAGUGCUGAUUUUGAAGUUGUGGAGGCAUGUGUCCAAUGGUCAGUAGAGCAAUGGCUAAAUGAUACAAGGUAAUUAGGAAAUGACUAUCAACAAAUAAUUACUGGAAUUCAGGACAUCAUCUGUUUAGAACACCUCUUUCCAAAUGAGUUGGUGCACAUGGUAGGCCUUUGGGACACAGAUACAUCAGUGCUGAUUUGCAUGCUGCUCUGGCCCACUGUCACUGUUCUCCAUUAGGCAGAGAUCCACUUUGUGCUCUCCACAAGAUAAAGGCAGAUUGAUUAUGAUGUUAAAAGCACUUUGGCCAAAUUGUUCUGACCUGGGUGACAUGCUGGAUUUAUGGUGCUAAAGUCCAUGGUUAGACAGAUUAAUUUGCUGCUGUCUAUGAAGGAAGGAUCCACUGGUGCUGACCUUAACGGCACUAUGGUCAAUAUGUGCUUAUCGUCAUAAUGUCUUUCUUCAUGUUCUGCUUUCUGUAGAUUUUGGAUUCAUUUAUUCUCCUUCCUCCCAGAAUAUCAGGAACAUCAAGCCAUUAGAUGGGUACAGCACAAGAUAAUGGCAGCGCAUUAUGACAAGAUAACCUACCCAGUUGUGUAAUUUCCAGUUGUAUAAUUUCUAGAAUGUUGUUGAUGAGUUGUUCAGACACUGAAAUCGGUCCCCUCAACGAGAUGAUGCUCUUGAUAUAUGCGAGUCAACAUUAACAAUUCCCCAAUUCAAAGUGGUCCAAAAUCUAAAAUAUGGCACGUUUACUGCAACCACUGCUUGUUAAAUUAACAUCAAGAGGAAAACGAGUUGAUUUCUGAUUUGAAUGCUGUUCUCACCAGUGCCUUUUGAUAUAUUUUUGGAAUGUUUUCAAAGAGUCAGGAAGCUUUUUUAUUUCUCUGUAUUUACUGUUCUGGGAUUUAGCAUCCGCACCCAAAGACAAGAAGAAAGAAACCAAUUUUCACUGCAGUGUUUUGAUCGUUGCACAAUAGCAAAUUGUAAGUUACAUGGACAUGGUGUGCACUCAGUAUUACAGCUUCAGGUAAAGACAGAUAAAGAUUACCUCCCUGUGUUGCAAGUACUCAUGAGAUCUGAAAAUAUGUGACCUGUACUUUGGACUCAAAUCUGUAGCUUCCUUCUUCCAGUGAAAUGGUAGCCUGACCUAGAACAAGCUCCUCCAAAGCUGCUCACUCAGUACGGUUAGCAUGAGUUGCUCAGUCUUGCAGCAAAACUUUAAAGGCCACCCACUUAGACAGAUCUGUCCACCCAGAGGCCCUAAUAGAAUGCAACUGCUGAGAGAGACAGAUAUCUCAGCUUCCUAGACUACCCCAGUGAGGGGCUUCUGUUUUACUUUAUUUUUAAUGGCUUUUUCUUUGGCUUGAAGAUGUUACCUUUCUGAUUGUUUGUAGGGUUGCUUUUGAAAAUGACAGUAUAUUACUUUAACUUAGAAUGUUUAAUAAAGAAUGGAAAUGGCUAAUCCACUUGGCUUCGUUAGCUCACGUUGGUUCUUGGCCAUUUAACUUUAAGUGUCCUAUGAAUCUGCAGCACAAGAUGACCUUGUCUUCUCUAUUAAAAGGUUUUCCAUUGGGGAGUUCUUAUAAACUCUAUUAAGAAGUACACUUUGAUGUCCCUUAACGGAUCUGCAAUUUUUUGGACGGAAGCACAAAUUGUACAGAUAAUGCAGUUUGCAGGCAAUUUAGACCUUUCCUGUGUUCUGCUUAUCAAGAAGAUAUUUUUAAGCUGUACAUUUUGUAAUGGUAUAUAGCAGCCUAGCCACUGUCAGUACUGUAUCAAUAAAAUGACCUAUAUCUUAUAUUUAAAUAAAUGUGUUCUUUUCAUGUCUAAA